AUCUUUUUAGUAUAUUAGUAUAUUUGGCUUCCAACCAAAAGGUUUAGAUUUACCUAAAAAAGAUA
rnacentral:tRNA from 1 species